UACAGAGGGGGCAAGCGUUGUUCGGAAUUACUGGGCGUAAAGGGCGCGUAGGCGGCCCGCUAAGUCGAACGUGAAAUCCCCAGGCUCAACCUGGGAACUGCGUCCGAUACUGGCAGGCUUGAGUCCGGGAGAGGGAUGUGGAAUUCCAGGUGUAGCGGUGAAAUGCGUAGAUAUCUGGAGGAACACCGGUGGCGAAGGCGGCAUCCUGGACCGGUAUUGACGCUGAGGCGCGAAAGCUAGGGGAGCAAACGGG
rnacentral:rRNA from 1 species